rnacentral:tRNA from 1 species
UCCCCGGAGGUCCAGUGGCUAAGACUCUGCACUCCCAGUGCGGGGGGCCCAGGUUCGAUUCCUGCUCAGGGAA